CGGGGAGCUUCCCGGAAACGAAAGUCUUUCGGUUCCUGGGGUAGUAUGGUUGCAAAGCUGAAACUUAAAGAAAUUGACGGAAGGGCACCACCAGGAGUGGAGCCUGCGGCUUAAUUUGACUCAACACGGGAAAACUCACCCGGCCCGGACACCGUUAGGAUUGACAGAUUGAAAGCUCUUUCUCGAUUUGGUGGUUGGUGGUGCAUGGCCGUUCUUAGUUGGUGGAGCGAUUUGUCUGGUUUAUUCCGAUAACGAGCGAGACUCUAGCCUGCUAAAUAGUGCUCUGAUUCUUGAGUCAGAGUUACUUCUUAGAGGGAUUAGCGGUGUCUAGCCGCACGAGAUUGAGCGAUAACAGGUCUGUGAUGCCCUUAGAUGUCCGGGGCUGCACGCGCGCUACACUGGAAGAAUCAGCGUGUUCUCCCAUUGCCGAAAGGUAUUGGUAAACCGUUGAAACUCUUCCGUGUCCGGGAUAGGGAAUUGCAAUUAUUUCCCUUGAACGAGGAAUUCCUAGUAAGUGUGAGUCAUCAGCUCA
rnacentral:rRNA from 1 species